CGACCCCCGAGCUUUUAGACCCUGCUGUGGCAAGAAGCAUCGCAGCUUCUUAUCCGCCGAGCACCAGACAGAGCUAGGAGUGUUUCAACCACGGAGCCCUGGAGAGCUGCUGACGAUAGACGAGCGAUGGAAGCAUAGGUUGGCAGUGGCCGGACUCCUACCGCUUUGCCGGUUGGUCGAGGCCCGAUCGACGGAGAACCCCGAGGUUGUGGCCCGUCGUUUCUACUUUGAUCGGUCGCUGAUAGCAGCACUGGUCGAUCGAUAGAGGCCGGAGACACAUACGUUCCAUCUCCCGUGCGGCGAGAUGACCCCGACCUUGCAGGACGUAGCCUACCUCUUAGGCCUUCCUUGCGCGGGAGCUGUGGUUGGAGUCAUCGAUAUGCAGGCUGACUGGAUCAACGACAUUCAUCAGCGCUUUGGCCCGGUGGAGCGAAAGACGGACGCACCCCCCUACGUGCCUGAGUUCUUGUCCGAUGCACGAGGGCCAACGAAGAAGUGGAUCCUACAGUUCCAGCCGGCGUACAUACACCCACAUGCCAAUGCAUACGCGAUCUCCAUGCAUUUUGAGGUCUUCCUACUUUGGUUGUUUGGGUGGGUAAUGUUCACUAGUGGCCAAGGUCACCUGGUUAACAGGACACUUGUGCUGUACGCCUGGUCGAUAGCAGACGCUGAUGCGGAGGACGUACCAUAGUUCAGUUGGGCAUUUGCUGUUCUUGCUGCGACGUAUCGGGCGCUCUGCGACGCAUGAACGAAGAAAGAGCCACUAUCCACUUUUGCCGGGUGUCCACUUCUUCUAUAGCUGUGGUCAUACGAGCAUUUCUCCAUAGGCAGGCCGGUGGUGGACCGCUCCCCGUACCCAGAGGAAUGGUACGGCGAGCCGGACGAGGACGCGCCU